rnacentral:rRNA from 1 species
AUUGAACGCUGGCGGCAGGCUUAACACAUGCAAGUCGAGCUAGCGUCGGCCGGGUGAGUAAUGUCUGGGAAACUGCCUGAUGGAGGGGGAUAACUACUGGAAACGGUAGCUAAUACCGCAUACCAUCAGAUGUGCCCAGAUGGGAUUAGCUAGUAGGUUGGGUAAAGGCUCACCUAGGCGACGAUCCCUAGCUGGUCUGAGAGGAGGACCAGCCAAACUGGAACUGAGACAAGGUCCAGACUCCAACGGGAGGCAGCAGUGGGGAAUAUUGCACAAUGGGAGCAAGCCUGAUGCAGCCAUGCCGCGUGUAUGAAGAAGGCCUUCGGGUUGUAAAGCACUUUCAGCGAGGAGGCGUUACUCGCAGAAGAAGAACCGGCUAACUCCGUGCCAGCAGCCGCGGUAAUUC